rnacentral:rRNA from 1 species
AAUGAACGCUGGCGGCAUGCCUAACACAUGCAAGUCGAACGAGACCUUCGGGUCUAGUGGCGCACGGGUGCGUAACGCGUGGGAAUCUGCCCUUGGGUUCGGAAUAACAGUUAGAAAUGACUGCUAAUACCGAAUGAUGUCGUAAGACCAAAGAUUUAUCGCCCAGGGAUGAGCCCGCGUAGGAUUAGCUAGUUGGUGGGGUAAAGGCCUACCAAGGCUACGAUCCUUAGCGGUCUGAGAGGAUGAUCAGCCACACUGGGACUGAGACACGGCCCAGACUCCUACGGGAGGCAGCAGUGGGAAUAUUGGACAAU